rnacentral:ncRNA from 1 species
UUUUUGGAGAGUUUGAUCCUGGCUCAGGAUGAACGCUGGCGGCGUGCCUAACACAUGCAAGUCGUACGGUCCCUUCGGGGACAGUGGCAGACGGGUGAGUAACACGUUGGGACUUACCCCGGAGUGGGGAAUAACCUGCCGAAAGGUGGGCUAAUACCGCAUAAUAUCGCAAGAUUAAAGCAGUAAUGCGCUCUGGGAUGGCCCUGCGGCCUAUCAGCUAGUUGGUAAGGUAAUGGCUUACCAAGGCUAAGACGGGUAGCUGGUCUGAGAGGAUGGUCAGCCACACUGGAACUGAGACACGGUCCAGACUCCUACGGGAGGCAGCAGUGAGGAAUUUUCCGCAAUGGACGAAAGUCUGACGGAGCGACGCCGCGUGAGGGAUGACGGCCUUCGGGUUGUAAA